rnacentral:lncRNA from 1 species
UGUAACUGUUCAAUCAAGCUUGAAUAUUAAAAGGAACCAGUUACUAAUUGUAAGAACUCUGGAACCAUCAGGAAAAACAGCAAAUACAAAAAUACAAUUGGUAACAGGGAGAGUUGUGGGCAGAGAGAGUAACGUAUUACAGCAACUUUCUGCAUAUGAAAAUAAAGAGAAGUGACAGAAAACACGGUUGAAAUUAGAAAAGAUGGAAGACCAGAAAGAUCGUCUCUUGGGACUCCUGGGCCUCUUAGCAGUUCCCUCCAUGAAGAGUGUUUGCCUAAUGAUUACUGACUGACAUCUCAAUAACGAGCAAUAUGCUGAUACUGGCUGCUUGACUGCUACGAUAUGCUCCUCAUGAUUGUGGCUGUUUUUCCAGAGCCACCAUGUGCCAGGCCCCUUGCAUCUGGAAUCCUCACAGUAACCCUAUGAGGCAGAAACUGUGGUCCCAUCUUACAGAUGGGAAAACUAAGGGAGAAUGUGGCAGAAGCAAUGACGAGCGUACCCUGCCGAGCAGACCUCAAGACGUUGCGUCUUCUCGAAUCCUGCCACCAGCACCUAAAUGAGCCCCGGCUAGCCUGAUGGAUGAUGGGAGAUAAAUGGCCCAGUUGUCCCCCCUGCCUGGCGAAUAGCCAGCCAGUGUCCAGAAGAAAAGCCACUUCAUGGACCUACAGCACACCAAGACGCAUGAGCGUGUGUACUUAGGGAAGAGCAGCCCAGCUGAGCCCAACCAAAUUUGCUGACCCACAGAAUCACAAAUAAAUGCUGCUUAAGUCACCAUAUUUGGAAAUGGCCGUUUUCAUAGCAGGUGGUAACUACAACAUACCCUCUAAGCUGGAUGGUUUUACUUAUGAUCCGUGAUCUACUCACAUUGUGCUCUCCAGU